rnacentral:tRNA from 1 species
UAGUUAUUAAUUUAAAUAAAAUAUUAAUUUUGUAAAUUAAUAAUAAGAAUAUUUCUUAUAACUAA